GGUAGACAUACAUACAUUGUAGUUCAAACCGAGCAUCAUAAUGGAGAAGAAAGGUUAAUUAAAUGACUUUGAACAUGGCAUGACUGUUGGUGCUGAAAGGGUUUGAUUUGAGUAUUUCAGAAAAGACUGAUCUACUGGUAUAUUCACACUCAACCAUCUCUAGGGUUUACAGAAUGGUACUGUAAAGGGAAAAAAUGCAGUGAGCAGCGAUUCUGUAGUCAAAAAUGCCUUGAUUGCAAAGGUCUGAGGAGAAUUGCCAGACUGGUUUGAGCUGAUACAAAAGCAAAAUUAAGUCAGAUAACCCCACAUUACAACCGAGGUAUGCAUAAGAGAAUCCCUGAUUACACAGCACAUCAAAUCCUGAGGCAAAUGGGCUAUAGCAGCAGAAAACCACAUUUGGUGCCACUCCUGUCAGCUAAGAACAGGGAAAUGAGGCAACAAUUUGGACAGGCUCACCAUAAACGACACUAAAAGAUCGCAAAAAUGUUGCCUCAGGGUCAACAUGGGUCAACUCUGCCUUACAUCAACAUUUCAGGCUGGAGAUAUAAUGGCAUAAGGAUAUUUUCUUAGCACAAUUUUGGCCAAUUAGUACCAAUUGUCUUUGUUGGAAUGCCACAGCCUACCCGAGUAUUGUUUCAGGCAGUUCUGAAGGCAAAAGGGGUCCAACCCAGCACUAGAGAGGUGUUCCUAGGACCUAAUGAAGUUUGAAGUUGCCAGUGAGUGUAGAUAAAUGUUUUAGGUGUACGGGAAAUCAUUAAAUGUUUGUUUAAGUUGUACAGAUGAAAAUUCAGCCGACUCACUGUUCACACCAAAUGGGGAACAAGAAAGGCUAGGCAACCCGAUCUUUUGACAACAGCCUCCACCAUUCUAUUCUAAAAAUGUCAAUAAUAUACGUGUAUAUCUGCUAUAUAAUAAUGUAUUUGUUUUAAAAGAUUAUGUGGGACAUGUUUUUUUUUUAAACAAAUGCAUAUUUAUCCUUUCUAUCUGUAAAUAAUCUUGAACAUAUACUGAGUGUAUGACAAUCAAACUGCAUUAAUUAAAUAACAAAAUUGCAUUAUUCCAAAAGCACCUAAGACUGUAUGGCUACUUUAUGAUAGCAUAUAGAUAUUUGUGACUAUUAUAUUGUAAGUUACAUUUGAAUGGGAUUUUGUCCAAAGAAGUGCUUAUUAAUCUUUUAGUUGCUAAAUACUUUGCCUAAAACUAUUGUCUAUACGUUAAGACUGUGUGGGCUCCGCCCCGCCUGCCUGUGCUUUGUUUCGCAACAGAGUGCUGGAUCGAUAGGGGGCCAAUCAUCUCUAAUUGAGACCCUUAUAAAGACUCUGGGCGGCUCCGACUCACUCUCUCUCUCUCUUGAAUCUGGCUUCUUCAGACCACAGCCCUGACGGCCACACUGAGAAUGCAGACGAUGGUGGUGGAAUUAAUAACCUGGAUCAGGAGUCCUCUGACAGCAGAUCUGAAUGGGCACCUGAUGGUGAAGACAUUACAUGUGAGGAAAAGACACAUACUAGAGGGAGUCGAGGACUUGGCUGUUCUACAAAAUGUCACUAAGGGAUGCAACUGACAGCUGAAGUAGGAUCUUUUUUGUUUUUUGGCCAUGACAAUGCUUUGACAGUUGAUAAUAAACUGAUAAUUACGAUACUAUGUGCACACCAUUGUUUUUAUGGG